rnacentral:lncRNA from 1 species
UACAAAUUUGAGUCCUCAGAAUGUCAUACGUACAUAAGAAGUUCAGAACAAUGUCCAUAAAUUUGGGUUACAAAUGUGUAAUAAGGUGCAGAAAGCACAAGAAUUAGAUAUGCACAAGAAUAAUCUUACAAGUGCAGAUUCUAUUCGAGUAUGCUUCCGGAAUGCUUGGCAUAGAAUGUUCUUGAAUGUUUAUGAAAUCAGGCUUUGGUCAUCAGACAUCAGGUUUCUUCUUCUUUGGCACAUACUGUCGAGCCCAUAGAUGUUUUCCCCUGGUCAUGAACUUGACUCUCCUGUUCCCAUCAAGA